rnacentral:rRNA from 1 species
UGCAUGUCUAAGUUCACACUGUCUCACGGUGACACCGCGAAUGGCUCAUUAAAUCAGUCGAGGUUUACUAGAUGAAAACUAUCCUACUUGGAUAACUGUGGCAAUUCUAGAGCUAAUACAUGCUAACCAAGCUCCGACCCUCGCGGAAAGAGCGCUUUUAUUAGUUCAAAACCAAUCGCCGUUGCCCCUUCGCGGGGGCGCGGCGUCCCGAUUGGUGACUCUGGAUAACUUUGUGCUGAUCGCAUGGCCUUUGCGCUGGCGACGCAUCUUUCAAAUGUCUGCCCUAUCAAAUGUCGAUGGUACGUGAUAUGCCUACCAUGUUUGUAACGGGUAACGGGGAAUCAGGGUUCGAUUCCGGAGAGGGAGCAUGAGAAACGGCUACCACAUCCAAGGAAGGCAGCAGGCGCGCAACUUACCCACUCCCGGCACGGGGAGGUAGUGACGAAAAAUAACAAUACGGGACUCUUUCGAGGCCCCGUAAUUGGAAUGAGUACACUUUAAACCCUUUAACGAGGAUCAAUUGGAGGGCAAGUCUGGUGCCAGCAGCCGCGGUAAUUCCAGCUCCAAUAGCGUAUAUUAAAGUUGUUGCAGUUAAAAAGCUCGUAGUUGGAUCUCAGGCGCAGGCGGGCGGUCCGGCUCGCGCCGGCUCACUGCCCGUUGUCUCCUGCCCUACCCGUCUGCCGGCUCUCUCCCGCGGGUGCUCUUCGCUGAGCGUCCCGGGUGGCCGGCGCGUUUACUUUGAAAAAAUUAGAGUGUUCAAAGCAGGCCGAGCUGCCUGAAUAAUGGUGCAUGGAAUAAUGGAAUAGGACCUCGGUUCUAUUUUGUUGGUUUUCGGAACUGGAGGUAAUGAUUAACAGGGACAAACGGGGGCAUUCGUAUUGCGGCGUUAGAGGUGAAAUUCUUGGAUCGCCGCAAGACGAACUACUGCGAAAGCAUUUGUCAAGAAUGUUUUCAUUAGUCAAGAACGAAAGUCAGAGGCGCGAAGACGAUCAGAUACCGUCGUAGUUCUGACCAUAAACUAUGCCACCUGGCCAUCCGCAGGAGUUGCUUCGAUGACUCUGCGGGCGGCCUCCGGGAAACCAAAGGUUUUGGGUUCCGGGGGAAGUAUGGGUGCAAAGCUGAAACUUAAAGGAAUUGACGGAAGGGCACCACCAGGAGUGGAGCCUGCGGCUUAAUUUGACUCAACACGGGAAAACUCACCCGGUCCGGACACUGUAAGGAUUGACAGAUUGAUAGCUCUUUCUUGAUUCGGUGGGUGGUGGUGCAUGGCCGUUCUUAGUUGGUGGAGCGAUUUGUCUGGUUAAUUCCGAUAACGAACGAGACUCUAGCCUAUUAAAUAGUUCGCCGGUUCCUCGAUGCGCCGGCGCAACUUCUUAGAGGGACGAGUGGCGUUUAGCCACACGAGAUUGAGCAAUAAC